rnacentral:lncRNA from 1 species
AUCUGCAACAGCUACACGAUGACCUAGAAGUGCUAGUGGUCUGAAUGAAGAGACUCGGAGUGGGGCAUGGGGGGGAAUAGAAGCAGGCAGAGUCUAAACUAGUGAAGAGGUAGCAUGCCCAGAAUUUGGUGAUUAAUUAGGUGAAAGGAUAAAAGAGAAUAAAAGUCAAGUGAAGAGUGAUCAGGUUUCCAGCUUGGACAACUGGAGAGAAGCCAAAGCAAUGGGCAGCUUCCCUCUCCGCUCUUCAUGUACCUACUAUGCUUCAAAGAGCAGAUUGGAAGCCUAGAGCCUGGGAGCACAGCCCUGUGGAAGGCCAACGAUGCUCAGUGAAGAGUGACAACAGGCAGGUGGCAGAGGGAAUCGAGCCGUACGCAUGUCUCUGCCAGCUCCUGGGUUGGCAUGCCAUUGCAGACUGGCAAAGUGGAGCUGUGAAGACGUACCUGGCACAUGGCUAUGCUCAGAAAAUGUCAGGUGAGCUGAGGGGUGUGAUUGUCUGUGUGUGGAUCUCUCCAUAACAACCAGGCAAACGAGACAAUCCAGCUGUUCUGAGCAGUUUGACUGGAAGUGGCUUCCCAGAAAACCUCAGCAAUGGGAAAUGGGACCCAAAAAUCUAUAUGUGAACAAUUCCAGAGGUGACUCUGAAACAGCUAGAACUGGGGACUGCUGAUCCGGC